GCCCAGGUGGCUCAGUGGUUGAGCAUCUGCCUUUGGCUCAGGUGGUGAUCCCAGGGCCCUGGGAUUGAGCCCAGCAUCGGCU
rnacentral:tRNA from 1 species